rnacentral:rRNA from 1 species
UAGGGAAUCUUCCGCAAUGGGCGAAAGCCUGACGGAGCAACGCCGCGUUAGUGAUGAAGGUCUUCGGAUCGUAAAACUCUGUUAUUAGGGAAGAACAACUGUGUAAGUAACUAUGCACGUCUUGACGGUACCUAAUCAGAAAGCCACGGCUAACUACGUGCCAGCAGCCGCGGUAAUACGUAGGUGGCAAGCGUUAUCCGGAAUUAUUGGGCGUAAAGCGCGCGUAGGCGGUUUUUUAAGUCUGAUGUGAAAGCCCACGGCUCAACCGUGGAGGGUCAUUGGAAACUGGAAAACUUGAGUGCAGAAGAGGAAAGUGGAAUUCCAUGUGUAGCGGUGAAAUGCGCAGAGAUAUGGAGGAACACCAGUGGCGAAGGCGACUUUCUGGUCUGUAACUGACGCUGAUGUGCGAAAGCGUGGGGAUCAAACAGG